AAAUGCAUGUUCUACUAAUUUAAAAGGUAAUUGACUAUUCAUGUAAAAAAUGUUGAUGAUUUUUCAGGAGAGCAUUUCCCAGGCACGGGAUUCUUUGAGAGACUACACUGGAGCUGUGAGUGGUGCUGUCCGGUUCCUCCAGGAGGCUGAGGCCCUGCUCCAUCCCUCAUUAGCCCCAGUCGGAGGUUGCCUUGAGAGGCUGAGGGACAUCCAGCAGGCCCUGGCCUCCAUGGAGGAGCAGCUCCAUUCCCAUAUAAGCCAGCUCCAGACCCUGGCCCUCCAGCAUGACUACCUGAGCCCCCAGAUGGUGGAGCGUCUACAGAGGGAGGUGCUGAGCCAGCUCCUGGUGCGGAUGUCCACCCUCCAGGCCCAGGCCCAGCUCAAACUGGAGGCCCUGCAGAGGUAGACACUGUCUCUAAGAGUCAAGGGGCCUUAGAUACAGUCAUGAUUGUGAUAUGAUUGUAAUACUCAACUGCCAAGUCAAGCCAACCUUCUAAUGCGUAAUGCCAUUUGUAGUAGUCUUAUUGAUGUGACGCCUGAUUGAUAUGUGGUUUGUGUUUGGUAGGUGUGCUGAGUAUCACAGAAGGUAUAGGAAGUGCCAUGAGGAGAUCUGCCAGGGUGUAAAGAGCGCAGAGACCCAUCUCUCCUACUGUCACUCUCACAAAGUCAGCUCUCUCACUGACUGCACCGACCAGCAAGCUAAGCUAAAGGUAUGGGGAAAGAAUGCUAAACAAAUUUUUCAUAGCGUUAACAUUACAUUUUUUAAAUGUUUUUUUUACCCACCACUCUCUCCUUUACAGGCUCUGUCUGAGGAGGUAGACUCUGUAACUGGGCUUCUAAAGUGUUUGGGGGAGUGGUGCCCGGAGCAGGGUUGCCGUUGCAGCAGGGAGGGGGCGGUGAGCGCGCUCUGGAGGCAGGUGGCAAGACUGCAGCGUUGCACCUGCAAUCUGAAGACUCACUCAAAUCAGAGGGCAGACGAAUGGAGUGAUAUUACAAAGAGCGUGGAGCGAGCAUCCAUCAUGCUGGAGCAAGUGGAGGCUGAGCUGCCAGAUGACACCAGGGAGAAGGUGUGUGGGGAAGAGCUGCAGGUGCUGCUGUUGUACUGGGACCAGUACCAGGACAGGCUAGACUGUGAGCACCGAGCUCUCUCAGCUCUCGAGCUCCGUAUUGCCAGACUGCUGGGCGUCCCCGCCCACCUGGAGCAGGCCCCGCCCACCCCGCUGUGUCAGCAGUUGCAGGUCAUGCAGGACCGCUAUGGCAGGUGAGAGGUCAACCACCCUACAACAGACAGGACAGGAAACACAUUGUUUCGUAGUGUUGUUUCAGGAGCUGAGCGUGUGGUGCCUCAAAUAUUACACUUAAUUCCCACUUCUCAAAGACACAAAUCCCCACAGCCAGCAUAUGGUAUGAAUUAACACCUAUAGGCUUUAAGACAAGUGUUAAAAUCCAAACUUGUUGCAUUGAUGGUCAUACCAAUCAGUGUUUCUGUGGUAGUGCAGGGCAUAGGUACUCAAUCUCCCAGCGGCUCCACACAUUCACACUUGGAUGAGCAUUCUGGGAAAAGUGGGUCGGCAAAGGGUUGCUGUGCCUCUCCACUCAGGGCAACAAGCGCAGAAAGAUGCACACUCAUACCCACUCAGUCAUCCACAGCAUACACACACAUGCUUACCGUGUAGAUAGACAAUCACAGACGCAGAGGUUGUGAAAUACUGAAAUACCUGAAUUGAGAUGAUGCUCUGCAUCCUAAUUUUAGUGUCAGCUUUAGUUCCCAAAGGAAACUCUUUGCCUUAUGAAGUCAAGGUAAGAG
ensembl:lncRNA